CCUACGGGAGGCUGCAGCGGGGAAUAUUGCACAAUGGGCGCAAGCCUGAUGCAGCCAUGCCGCGUGUGUGAAGAAGGCCUUCGGGUUGUAAAGCACUUUCAGCGGGGAGGAAGGCGGUGAGGUUAAUAACCUCAUCGAUUGACGUUACCCGCAGAAGAAGCACCGGCUAACUCCGUGCCAGCAGCCGCGGUAAUACGGAGGGUGCGAGCGUUAAUCGGAAUUACUGGGCGUAAAGCGCACGCAGGCGGUCUGUCAAGUCGGAUGUGAAAUCCCCGGGCUCAACCUGGGAACUGCAUUCGAAACUGGCAGGCUAGAGUCUUGUAGAGGGGCGUAGAAUUCCAGGUGUAGCGGUGAAAUGCGUAGAGAUCUGGAGGAAUACCGGUGGCGAAGGCGGCCCCCUGGACAAAGACUGACGCUCAGGUGCGAAAGCGUGGGGAGCAAACAGGAUUAGAUACCCUGGUAGUC
rnacentral:rRNA from 1 species